rnacentral:rRNA from 1 species
GACAGAGGGGGCAAGCGUUGCUCGGAAUCACUGGGCGUAAAGGGCGCGUAGGCGGGAUGGCAAGUCAGUCGUGAAAUCUCUCGGCUCAACCGAGAAACGUCGGCUGAUACUGCCGUUCUUGAGGGAUGCAGAGGAGACUGGAAUUCCCGGUGUAGCGGUGAAAUGUGUAGAGAUCGGGAGGAACACCGGUGGCGAAGGCGGGUCUCUGGGCCGUAACUGACGCUGGGGAGCGAAAGCGUGGGGAGCAAACAGG